CUGCUGUUAAAGCGUGGAGCUUAACUCCAUAUCGGCGGUGGAAACUGAUGAACUAGAGGGAGGUAGGGGUCACGGGAAUUCCCAGUGUAGCGGUGAAAUGCGUAGAUAUUGGGAAGAACACCAGCGGCGAAAGCGCGUGACUGGGCCAUUACUGACACUCAUGGACGAAAGCUAGGGGAGCGAAAGGGAUUAGAUACCCCUGUAGUCCUAGCCGUAAACGAUGGACACUAGGUGUUGCCCGAUCGACCCGGGCAGUGCCGUAGCUAACGCGUUAAGUGUCCCGCCUGGGGAGUACGCACGCAAGUGUGAAACUCAAAGGAAUUGACGGGGGCCCGCACAAGCGGUGGAGUAUGUGGUUUAAUUCGAUGCAACGCGAAGAACCUUACCAGGGCUUGACAUGUCGCGAAUCCCCUUGAAAGGGGGGAGUGCCUUCGGGAGCGCGAGCACAGGUGGUGCAUGGCUGUCGUCAGCUCGUGUCGUGAGAUGUUGGGUUAAGUCCCGCAACGAGCGCAACCCACGUUUCUAGUUGCCAGCAUUCAGUUGGGCACUUUAGAGAGACUGCCGGUGACAAACCGGAGGAAGGUGUGGAUGACGUCAAGUCAGCAUGCCCCUUACGCCCUGGGCUACACACGUACUACAAUGCUUCGGACAGAGGGUUGCCAGCCCGCGAGGGUGCGCUAAUCCCGUAAACCGAGGCUCAGUUCAGAUUGCAGGCUGCAACUCGCCUGCAUGAAGGCGGAAUCG
rnacentral:rRNA from 1 species